rnacentral:pre_miRNA from 1 species
CAACUACUCCCUCUGUCCCAAAUUUCUUGUCUUAGAUUUGUCUAGAUACGGAUGUAUAUAAUACUAAAAUGUGACAUGAUACAUCCGUAUCUAGACAAAUCUAAGACAAGAAUUUUGGGAUGGAGGGAGUACUUU